UAGACAGGGCCUUUUGAACACCUGCUAAUGUUUUUAUAAAUGUAUGGUUUAAUGUAACUGUGCAACAACGUUGCAAUUGAAUGUGCUAUAUAAAUGAUAACAGUUACUCCGCCCACUCCAGUUGUAGACUCCUGGUGGAGGCAAGAACACUUCACACAAUUUCCCCAGAAAUUGUAGUUUUUCUAGUUAUUAAGUGUUCUUGCAUAGCAAGAC
rnacentral:lncRNA from 1 species